GUGAGUAACGCGUGAGUAACCUGCCUUACACAAGGGGAUAGCCGUUGGAAACGACGAAUAAUACCCUAUGAAACUAUCACUUCGCAUGAAGCGAUAGUCAAAGUGUUAGCGGUGUAAGAUGGACUUGCGUCUGAUUAGCUAGUUGGUGAGAAAAAAGCCCACCAAGGCAACGAUCAGUAGCCGGCUUGAGAGAGUGUACGGCCACAUUGGGACUGAGACACGGCCCAGACUCCUACGGGAGGCAGCAGUGG
rnacentral:rRNA from 1 species